rnacentral:lncRNA from 1 species
AGGAUUUUAAAACAAUCUAUCACCUAUCUUUGACCAUAUGGACUAAAAUUGAUAUCCACCAAUAGACACUGAUGCCUGCAAGUCAACAGCAUAAAGAGUGGUAAAGUCAGUGCUGCAAAAGAUGAAAUGUUUUUAAUGUGCUCUGGAGGCUAACCAUCCAAGACCAAGAUGUCAGCAGGAUUGGUUCCUGAGGGCCUUGAGGAAGAAUCUGUUCCAGGACUUUCCCUUUGGCUUGCCAUUGGCCAUAUUCUCUCUGUGUCUUCUCACGUCUUCCCUCUGUAUUUGUUUCCAAAUUUCCUCUUCUUAUAAGGACAGUAGUCAUAUUGGAAAAAGGAACACCCUAAUAACCUAAUUUUAACUUGAUUACCUCUUUAAAGACCUUAUCUCCAAAUACCAUCACAUUCUGAACUAUUAAAGAUUAAUGCGUCAAUAUAUGAAUUUUGUGAGGGGCAGGGAGACAGAAUACAACCAACCCACAACACCCAGAUACAUAGCGAAAUCUUCUUCUUCUAGGCCCCCUGUGCCUGUGUCCACCACUUCAUCCCCCAAUUAGCUAUAUUUGAAAAAGUAAGAGGGAAAGAACAGUUGGAGGGGGAAGAGAGAGAGAAAGAAGACAGACAACUUAGAUUAUGUGCCCUAGAUGUUGGCCUUACAAAACGGGAGCAAAUCUUAACCAAUCAUUGUAGCAAAACCUUUUGUUUAUGA